rnacentral:lncRNA from 1 species
UUAUGGCGUGUAGGGUAUUGAGAAGUAUGUCCCAAAGUCAAUCAUUUGAUGAUUGCAUUAAUUAUAAAUAUAUAUGAAUUGAUUAAUAAUAAAAGUUAUUUGAUCUUUUUCAUCAUAAGAUUAUAUUUUUUAAUGAACUCCUAUAUUGUGAUGAAGUCCUUAGGAUUACUUUGAUCAAUAAAAGAGGAUUUUGUUGGGAAAUGUGUCCCAAAAAGCUAAUCGUCAAGCUGUUGAUGGUUGAGCAACCAAGUAUUAUAAUUGAUUUGUUAAUAAAUAAAAUAUAUUUGGUAUUUUCAUCAUAAGCUUUCAUCUUCUAAUGAACUCCAUUGUUAUGAUGAAGUCC